GAUGACUGGAGAUGUCACAAUUGAUCCAAAUGCUUCUUGCCUGGUAAUGACUACAGAAAUCUGGCGUAGUAUGCAGUACAAAGGAUCAGAGGUUACAAGGGAGGUGGCUUGGGUUAUAUUUGAUGAGGUACACUACAUGCGUGAUAGAGAAAGAGGUGUAGUUUGGGAGGAAAGCAUUGUUAUGGCCCCAAAAAAUUCCAACUUUGUCUUCCUCUCAGCCACGGUGCCCAAUGCUAAAGAGUUUGCGGAUUGGGUUGCAAAGGUCCAUCAGCAACCAUGUCACAUUGUUUAUACAGACUAUAGACCCACACCACUUCAGCAUUAUAUAUUUCCUUCUGGUGGUGAUGGGUUAUACUUGGUGGUUGAUGACAAAGGGAAGUUUCGUGAGGAUAGUUUUCAGAAAGCUUUGAAUGCUCUUGUUCCAGCCAAUGAAGGGGAUAAAAAAAGAGAAAAUAGCAAGUGGCAGAAGGGUCUGGUUGUUGGCAAAUCUGGUGAGAAUAGUGACAUAUUCAAGAUGGUUAAAAUGAUUAUCCAGCGGCAAUACGAUCCUGUAAUAUGCUUCAGCUUCAGCAAAAGAGAAUGUGAAUUUCUAGCAAUGCAGAUGUCUAAAAUGGAUUUAAACAAUGAUGA
rnacentral:misc_RNA from 1 species